rnacentral:rRNA from 1 species
UACGUAGGGGGCAAGCGUUAUCCGGAUUUACUGGGUGUAAAGGGCGCGUAGGCGGGAUGGCAAGUCAGAUGUGAAAUCCAGGGGCUCAACCCCUGAACUGCAUUUGAAACUGUCGUUCUUGAGUGCAGAAGAGGAGAGUGGAACUCCAUGUGUAGCGGUGGAAUGCGUAGAUAUAUGGAAGAACACCAGUGGCGAAGGCGGCUCUCUGGUCUGUAACUGACGCUGAGGCUCGAAAGCAUGGGUAGCGAACAGG